rnacentral:rRNA from 1 species
GACGAACGCUGGCGGCGUGCUUAACACAUGCAAGUCGAACGGAAAGGCCCUGCUUGCAGGGUGCUCGAGUGGCGAACGGGUGAGUAACACGUGGGUGAUCUGCCCCUUACUUUGGGAUAAGCCUGGAAAACUGGGUCUAAUACUGGAUAGGACCAUGCUGUAGGUGGUGUGGUGGAAAGAUUAGUUUCGGUAAGGGAUGAGCUCGCGGCCUAUCAGCUUGUUGGUGGGGUAAUGGCCUACCAAGGCGUCGACGGGUAGCCGGCCUGAGAGGGUGGACGGCCACAUUGGGACUGAGAUACGGCCCAGACUCCUACGGGAGGCAGCAGUGGGGAAUAUUGCACAAUGGGCGCAAGCCUGAUGCAGCGACGCCGCGUGGGGGAUGACGGCCUUCGGGUUGUAAACUCCUUUCAGCCAUGACGAAGCCCUUGUGGUGACGGUAGUGGUAGAAGAAGCACCGGCUAACUACGUG